UGGAUCCAGACUUUGAUUCUGGCUCAGGAUGAACGCUGGCGGCGUGCCUAAUACAUGCAAGUCGAACGAAACUUCUUUAUCACCGAGUGCUUGCACUCACCGAUGAAGAGUUGAGUGGCGAACGGGUGAGUAACACGUGGGCAACCUGCCCGAAAGAGGGGGAUAACACUUGGAAACAGGUGCUAAUACCGCAUUACCAUGAACACCGCAUGGUGUUUAUGUGAAAGGUGGUUUCGGCUACCGCUUUCGGAUGGGCCCGCGGCGCAUUAGCUAGUUAGUGGGGUAAAGGCUUACCAAGGCAAUGAUGCGUAGCCGAACUGAGAGGUUGAUCGGCCACAUUGGGACUGAGACACGGCCCAAACUCCUACGGGAGGCAGCAGUAGGGAAUCUUCCACAAUGGGCGAAAGCCUGAUGGAGCAACGCCGCGUGGGUGAAGAAGGUCUUCGGAUCGUAAAACCCUGUUGUCAGAGAAGAAAGUGCAUGAGAGUAACUGUUCAUGUUUCGACGGUAUCUGACCAAAAAGCCACGGCUAACUACGUGCCAGCAGCCGCGGUAAUACGUAGGUGGCAAGCGUUAUCCGGAUUUAUUGGGCGUAAAGGGAACGCAGGCGGUCUUUUAAGUCUGAUGUGAAAGCCUUCGGCUUAACCGGAGUAGUGCAUUGGAAACUGGGAGACUUGAGUGCAGAAGAGGAGAGUGGAACUCCAUGUGUAGCGGUGAAAUGCGUAGAUAUAUGGAAGAACACCAGUGGCGAAAGCGGCUCUCUGGUCUGUAACUGACGCUGAGGUUCGAAAGCGUGGGUAGCAAACAGGAUUAGAUACCCUGGUAGUCCACGCCGUAAACGAUGAAUGCUAAGUGUUGGAGGGUUUCCGCCCUUCAGUGCUGCAGUUAACACAAUAAGCAUCCCGCCUGGGGAGUACGACCGCAAGGUUGCAACUCAAAGGAAUUGACGGA
rnacentral:rRNA from 1 species